UGUAAUAUGGAGGUAAGUGAGUUUGAUAGAUGUAU
rnacentral:guide_RNA from 1 species